GACGAACGCUGGCGGCGUGCUUAACACAUGCAAGUCGAACGGAAAGGCCCUGCUUUUGUGGGGUGCUCGAGUGGCGAACGGGUGAGUAACACGUGAGUAACCUGCCCUUGACUCUGGGAUAACUUCAGGAAACUGGGGCUAAUACCGGAUAGGAGCUCCUGCUGCAUGGUGGGGGUUGGAAAGUUUCGGCGGUUGGGGAUGGACUCGCGGCUUAUCAGCUUGUUGGUGGGGUAGUGGCUUACCAAGGCUUUGACGGGUAGCCGGCCCGAGAGGGUGACCGGCCACAUUGGGACUGAGAUACGGCCCAGACUCCUACGGGAGGCAGCAGUGGGGAAUAUUGCACAAUGGGCGGAAGCCUGAUGCAGCAACGCCGCGUGCGGGAUGACGGCCUUCGGGUUGUAAACCGCUUUCGCCUGUGACGAAGCGUGAGUGACGGUAAUGGGUAAAGAAGCACCGGCUAACUACGUG
rnacentral:rRNA from 1 species